rnacentral:rRNA from 1 species
GCGGCGGACGGGUGAGUAACACGUGGGCAACCUGCCUGUAAGACUGGGAUAACCCCGGGAAACCGGGGCUAAUACCGGAUAAUACUUUACUUCGCCUGAAGUGAAGUUGAAAGAGGGCUUAGGCUCUCACUCACAGAUGGGCCCGCGGCGCAUUAGCUAGUUGGUGAGGUAAGAGCUUACCAAGGCGACGAUGCGUAGCCGACCUGAGAGGGUGAUCGGCCACACUGGGACUGAGACACGGCCCAGACUCCUACGGGAGGCAGCAGUAGGGAAUCAUCCGCAAUGGACGAAAGUCUGACGGUGCAACGCCGCGUGAGUGAUGAAGGUUUUCGGAUCGUAAAGCUCUGUUGUGAGGGAAGAACAAGUGCCGUUCGAAGAGGGCGGCAGUCUGACGGUACCUCACCAGAAAGCCCCGGCUAACUACGUGCCAGCAGCCGCGGUAAUACGUAGGGGGCAAGCGUUGUCCGGAAUUAUUGGGCGUAAAGCGCGCGCAAGCGGUCUUUUAAGUCUGAUGUGAAAUCUUGCG